rnacentral:rRNA from 1 species
GAUGAACGCUGGCGGCGUGCCUAAUACAUGCGAGUCGAGCGAACAGAUGAGGAGCCUGCUCCUCUGACGUUAGCGGCGGACGGGUGAGUAACACGUGGAUAACCUACCUAUAAGACUGGGAUAACUUCGGGAAACCGGAGCUAAUACCGGAUAAUAUAUUGAACCGCAUGGUUCAAUAGUGAAAGACGGUUUUGCUGUCACUUAUAGAUGGAUCCGCGCCGCAUUAGCUAGUUGGUAAGGUAACGGCUUACCAAGGCAACGAUGCGUAGCCGACCUGAGAGGGUGAUCGGCCACCCUGGAACUGAGACACGGUCCAGACUCCUACGGGAGGCAGCAGUAGGGAAUCUUCCGCAAUGGGCGAAAGCCUGACGGAGCAACGCCGCGUGAGUGAUGAAGGUCUUCGGAUCGUAAAACUCUGUUAUUAGGGAAGAACAAAUGUGUAAGUAACUAUGCACGUCUUGACGGUACCUAAUCAGAAAGCCACGGCUAACUACGUG